rnacentral:rRNA from 1 species
GACGAACCGUGCAAACGUUAUUCGGAAUCACUGGGCGUAAAGGGCGCGUAGGCGGCGCGAGUAGUCAACGGUGAAAGCCCGGGGCUCAACCCCGGGUCGGCCGUCGAUACUCUCGUGCUUGAGCACUGUAGAGGCAGGUGGAAUUCCGGGUGUAGCGGUGGAAUGCGUAGAGAUCCGGAAGAACACCGGUGGCGAAGGCGGCCUGCUGGGCAGUAGCUGACGCUGAGGCGCGACAGCGUGGGGAGCAAACAGG